UACGAAGGUGGCAAGCGUUGUUCGGAUUCACUGGGCGUACAGGGUGUGUAGGCGGUUUGGUAAGCCUUCUGUUAAGCUUCGGGCCCAACCCGGAAAGCGCAGAGGGUACGCCAGGCUAGAGGGCGGGAGAGGAGCGCGGAAUCCCGGUGUAGCGGUGAAAGUGCGUAGAGAGUCGGGAGGAAGGCCGGUGGCGAAGGCGGCGCUCUGGGCAUGUUCGUGACGCUGAGGAGCGAAAGUGUGGGGAGCGAACGAGG
rnacentral:rRNA from 1 species